rnacentral:lncRNA from 1 species
CACACUCCUAAAACACCACUGAAAGCAUAUUCUAUGUAUUAGGAGCUCACGUGAUGGCAAUGGGAAUUUGCACUUGGGAUUAGAAAUGUCUGCCACAUAGCAGGCAGAUGAGCAGACAGCUGGGUCCACUUUGUGCAUUAAGAUCUAAUAAGUCAUUCCGUUUCUCCACAGGUCAAACCAUACAACUGGUUGUGAGAGUGGUCUUGUGAGGUGUUGUGCUGCAGUGCAGGGGUGCACUUGCCCUCCUUGCUGAGCUCUGCUUUCUGCUAGGCACAAAGGGAGGUAAGAGGUGAGCUCCCUGCCCAGCUCUGCUCCUCCCUCAGCUGUGGGCUGCAAGAGUGACACAGAGGUGUAUGCAUUACAGCCCAAGGCAAAAAUAUCCAUGCCUUCCCCAAAGAUCUCAUGGUGCUUCUGCGGACCAGAUGGUUCCAAUUUGAGGCCUACACUCGGUGAUGUAGCUGUAUUGAGUUUCUUCCCUGAAACCAACAAAACCUGCUUUAGCAUUUUGCUUGGAUUAAAAUAUUUGUCCCUUUUUUCACAGGGCAGAAGAGGGACUCCUGAAGCCACUGAAGGAAGGAAAUCAUUACAGGGUUCUACAGAACAAACUAACAUUUUUGUGAAGGCUCAAACUGCUUUCUUUAACAACUGUGAUUAUAAAAGAUGACGA